rnacentral:rRNA from 1 species
CGGCGAGUGAAGCGGCAACAGCUCAAAUUUGAAAUCUGGCCCUAGGCCCGAGUUGUAAUUUGCAGAGGAUGCUUUUGGUGCGGUGCCUUCCAAGUUCCCUAGAACGGGACGCCAGAGAGGGUGAGAGCCCCGUACAGUUGGACACCAAGCCUUUGUAAAGCUCCUUCGACGAGUCGAGUAGUUUGGGAAUGCUGCUCAAAAUGGGAGGUAUAUUUCUUCUAAAGCUAAAUACCGGCCAGAGACCGAUAGCGCACAAGUAGAGUGAUCGAAAGAUGAAAAGCACUUUGAAAAGAGGGUUAAACAGCACGUGAAAUUGUUAAAAGGGAAGCGCUUGUGACCAGACUUGCGUCCGGUGAAUCACCCAGCUCUCGCGGCUGGGGCACUUCGCCGGCUCAGGCCAGCAUCAGCUCGCUGUCGGGGACAAAAGCUUCAGGAACGUAGCUCUCUUCGGGGAGUGUUAUAGCCUGUUGCAUAAUACCCUUCGGCGGGCUGAGGUACGCGCUCCGCAAGGAUGCUGGCAUAAUGGUCAUCAGCGACCCGUCUUGAAACACGGACCAAGGAGUCAACCUUAUGUG